ACGGCCAUACCAAACAGAAUAUACCGGUUCUCGUUAGAUCACCGAAGUCAAGCAUCAUUGGGCGCGGUCAGUACUUGGGUGGGUGACCACCUGGGAACACCGCGUGC